rnacentral:rRNA from 1 species
GACGUGGGGGGCCAGCGUUGCUCGGAAUUACUGGGCGUAAAGGGUUCGUAGGCGGUGUGUCAAGUUGGGGGUGAAAUCCCUGGGCUCAACCCAGGGUCUGCCUCCAAAACUGACGUGCUUGAGUGUGGGAGAGGCGAGUGGAAUUGCAGGUGUAGCGGUGAAAUGCGUAGAUAUCUGCAGGAACAUCCGUGGCGAAAGCGGCUCGCUGGACCACAACUGACGCUGAGGAACGAAAGCUAGGGGAGCAAACAGG